rnacentral:lncRNA from 13 species
AUGCAUCCCUACUGCCUGAGGGUGUGCCUGGAUGAGGAGGGGAAGGACUGGGUCGGCACAUCCAGGCAGGAGGCCUCCUCCCUGGGGGAACGGAGCGCGGACCAGAGUGUACCCCUGGAGGGCGAGGUGUGGAGGUAUACAAAGCCUGGUUCGGAAGAGAGCGACGAGGAAAUUGAUGUGGACGGAUCAGAUGACGAGUGUCCCUCGGUAGGAGGGAUGAAGGAUGAGAAAGAGGGGGAUGGAGAACAGGGAAGUAAAGGUGAAGAAGUGAAGCAACUAAAAAGUCUACUUGUGAAGUGGGACGGGCCCAAAGAAGGCCAGAAGACCAAGAACAAAAAAAGAGUGAGCUUCGGACCUGUCCUGGUGACAUCCUACGAGCUACCGGCAGCAGACGAACCUGACUUAAACGUGCUCCCGGACUUGAGCGAGCUCACCAGCCAAAUCCCCAUUUUUGACUUCAACACCAAAACAACGACCAUUUCCCUCACAACAUCCUCUCCAGAGUCUUCAGCAGCGUCUUCAAAGGACAACCAUCAUCAGGUUGUAACUGACUUGUCUGAAAGGACCGGAGAUACGUCGUCGUCGGAGCCUCCACCACAGCGAGGCGAGUCCAAGCCCAGACCGGCCCUCAGUCUCCAGCAGUACCGCCUGCUGCGCCAGCAAAGACUACCCCUGGUGGGGAAACCUGAGAAUUACACCACCAAAUGGCCCUCUCUACCCGAAACCCCCACGGAGUUGCCUCCUAUACCCUAUUUACAAGGACCUAAAUAUAGCAUGUGCGGACCAACGACCACACAUCCUACACAUCAUUACCUAGGAAGUAAAACAGGGGGUGAUGUCAGUGGAUUCAAGCCUAUAUCUAAGACAAGGACGAAGAUGGUCUCUCCUGCUUGUCCCAGUAAACCUGGUAAAGCCAUUGGCAUCAAUGGAUCAAAGCCUGUUAGAAGUGGGACUAAGACUCCUCCUACCAGCUCAGCUUUAAAGCCCAAACGCAACUCAAUGGAAGCUAAAUCUGCGAAUGAUGUUGGUGUAUUAAAGCCUAUUUGGACUGAGACCAUCUCUCCUGCUAGUCCCUUACCAAGUCCCAACCUGAACUCCAACUCAGUGGCGGGUCUGGGCCAGAACAGGACUAGCCCAGAAAAGAGUGCUGUUGCGGUCAGUAGCGACCCCCCAAACCCUGUCCUGGUCCCACUACCUGGAACCCGUCCAUCUUUGGAUGGAUUUGAUAGGAGCCGUGGGACCAACCAGGAGAAGCAGGAACAAUCUCUACCUCGAUCCACCACCCAGGAGUCUCCGGCGCCCAAGCCCAAAAUGGUGUUCUGCAACCGGGAUCCAAGCCUGAAGAGCACCAGUCUCCUCCUUGAGAUCCAACGGAGGUUCUCCACCAAACAACCAUCGCGGAAAGCACUUCACACCCAAAACACUGCAGAGACCACAAAACAAGGGGAUCAGCCUCGCUCUCUCAGCCCAAGGAAAGGAAUCGAGACCGUACCAGAAGGGUCCAAGUUUUCCCCAAGUGCACCAGUAAUGGCAAGUCCAUCGUCCAGCCCCUCAGUCCAUCCACCCACCCAUGCCGUUGCUCCUUACCCAGAGAUGGAGAGGGCAAAGCGGGUAGCCCUUGGUAACCUCCCCCAUGUCCGACUGUCCACCUCUCCAGAGAGUAACACCUGCAUACAGACCCCCACCUGCGGCACAGGAAUCCAAGCCACAGAUCUGACCAGCCUUCUGGAGCGGUUUGAGGAAACACAAGCCAAAGAGGAGACUGAGAGUGAACCUGAAGGCAGUCCAGAUAGGAGCCCUGUUAGAGAUGAAGAGCCGAGCAACAACACUGAAGGGAUGCUGACACUGCUGGGUGCCUAUCUCCUCAGCACCCAAGAUAAACUCUGUCUUCCAGCACCCACUGGCUUUCCAGAACUUGUCAACACACUCGAACCCCUCAGAACUCCGGAACCCCUCAGAACUCCGGAGCCCCUCAGAACUCCGGGACCCCUCAGAACUCCGGGACCCCUCAGAACUCCGGGACCCCUCAGAACUCCGGAGCCCCUCAGAACUCCGGGACCCCUCAGAACUCCGGAACCUCUCAGAACUCUGGAACGUUGCGAUACUCAGGAACCUCUCAGCACCCAGAAUGUUCUCAACACUCAGGAACAGGCCCCUGCACAGCCGCGCUGGAAACCACUUACCCCUGUCGCACCUCAGAGGAAGCAACCGGCGACCCCCAAACCUCUCCCUCACAAGGCCAUCCAAAUCAUCAACCCCCGUCCUCUACCACCCAAAAAGGCCCACCCCCUCCCCCCAAAGCCCCCUGUCACCCCCCCUGAGUUCCAGACAGCAGUAUCUGUCUCCUCAGACCACGACUACUGUCUAUCUCAGGAUCAACCAGGGAGUAAUACUACUAUGUUAUGCAGCAAAAGACAAACCAUACUCCCCGACCACCAACCAAUUCCCAACCCCUCCUCAGUGCCCGGCACACAGAACUCUGGGAAAUAUUUGCGGCAGCAGCAGCCGGUGGACUCCAGGACUGUUCCAGAGACACAACUUCCCUCAGACUCUGCUCCGCCAUCUACAGAGAGCUCCCCCUCUAGGACGGACGCCAUUACUGCAGGGGAGACACAGGCAGAGAGAACCAGCCCCUGCAUCCCCUCCCCUCCUUCACCCAGUCCCCCUGCCAGAGGUAGGAGGUCGUCCCGGCGCUAUCGGACACGGUCUUCAUGCUCGGACUCUAGCUCCCCUUCUUCAUCGUCAUCUUCCUCAUCCUCCUCCUCUCGAUCCAGGUCUCGCUCUCCACCCCGAAAGAGGUAGUUUCAAAUUCUGUGUGGUGACUGUUAUUGCUCUUGAAUU